rnacentral:rRNA from 1 species
ACGCACGCUGGCGGCAUGCCUAACACAUGCAAGUCGCACGAGACCUUCGGGUCUAGUGGCGCACGGGUGCGUAACGCGUGGGAACCUGCCCUUAGGUUCGGAAUAACUCCCCGAAAGGGGUGCUAAUACCGGAUAAUGUCUUCGGACCAAAGAUUUAUCGCCUUUGGAUGGGCCCGCGUUGGAUUAGCUAGUUGGUAGGGUAAAAGCUUACCAAGGCGACGAUCCGUAGCUGGUCUGAGAGGACGACCAGCCACACUGGGACUGAGACACGGCCCAGACUCCUACGGGAGGCAGCAGUGGGGAAUUUUGGACAAUGGGGGCAACCCUGAUCCAGCCAUGCCGCGUGCGGGAAGAAGGCCUUCGGGUUGUAAACCGCUUUUGUUCGGGAAGAAAUCCUCUGGGCUAAUACCCCGGGGGGAUGACGGUACCGGAAGAAUAAGCACCGGCUAACUACGUG